GACGAACGCUGGCGGCGUGCUUAACACAUGCAAGUCGAACGGAAAGGCCCUGCUUUUGUGGGGUGCUCGAGUGGCGAACGGGUGAGUAACACGUGAGUAACCUGCCCUUGACUUUGGGAUAACUUCAGGAAACUGGGGCUAAUACCGGAUAGGAGCUCCUGCUGCAUGGUGGGGGUUGGAAAGUUUCGGCGGAUGGGGAUGGACUCGCGGCUUAUCAGCUUGUUGGUGGGGUAGUGGCUUACCAAGGCUUUGACGGGUAGCCGGCCUGAGAGGGUGGCCGGCCACAUUGGGACUGCGAUACGGCCCAGACUCCUACGGGAGGCAGCAGUGGGGAAUAUUGCACAAUGGGCGGAAGCCUGAUGCAGCAACGCCGCGUGCGGGAUGACGGCCUUCGGGUUGUAAACCGCUUUCGCCUGUGACGAAGCGUGAGUGACGGUAAUGGGUAAAGAAGCACCGGCUAACUACGUG
rnacentral:rRNA from 1 species